rfam:Echinostoma caproni strain Egypt genome assembly, scaffold: ECPE_scaffold0001135
ACACUACUGAUGAGACUCACCCAGGUCGAAACAGCUGUCCAGUGC